rnacentral:rRNA from 1 species
CCUACGGGUGGCAGCAGUGGGGAAUAUUGCACAAUGGGGGGAACCCUGAUGCAGCGACGCCGCGUGGGUGAGGAAGUACUUCGGUAUGUAAAGCCCUAUCAGCAGGGAAGAAAAUGACGGUACCUGACUAAUAAGCCCCGGCUAACUACGUGCCAGCAGCCGCGGUAAUACGUAGGGGGCAAGCGUUAUCCGGUUGUACUGGGGGUAAAGGUAGCGUAGACGGCGGGCCAAGUCUGAUGUGAAAGCCCGGGGCUCAACCCCAGGAGUGCAUUGGAAACUGGGCUGCUGGAGUGCCGGAGGGGAAAGUGGAAUUCCUAGUGUAGCGGUGAAAUGCGUAGAUAUUAGGAGGAACACCGGUGGCGAAGGCGGCUUGCUGGACGGUAACUGACGUUGAGGCUCGAAAGCGUGGGGAGCAAACAGGAUUAGAUACCCCUGUAGUC